rnacentral:rRNA from 1 species
CAGACUGGAACUGAGACACGGUCCAGACUCCUACGGGAGGCAGCAGUAAGGAAUCUUCCACAAUGGGCGAAAGCCUGAUGGAGCAACGCCGCGUGCAGGAUGAAGGCCCUCGGGUCGUAAACUGCUUUUAUGAGUGAAGAAUAUGACGGUAACUCAUGAAUAAGGAUCGGCUAACUACGUGCCAGCAGCCGCGGUCAUACGUAGGAUCCAAGCGUUAUCCGGAGUGACUGGGCGUAAAGAGUUGCGUAGGUGGUCAGUAAAGCGAAUAGUGAAAUCUGGGGGCUCAACCUCACAGGCUAUUAUUCGAACUCACUGACUCGAGAACAGCAGAGGUAACUGGAAUUUCUGAAGUAGGGGUAAUAUCCGUAGAUAUCAGAAGGAACACCAAUGGCGUAGGCAGGUUACUGGGCUGUUUCUGACACUGAGGCACGAAAGCGUGGGGAGCGAACCGGAUUAGAUACCCGGGUAGUCCACGCCGUAAACGAUGGAUACUAGCUGUUGGAGGUAUCGACCCCUUCAGUAGCGAAGCUAACGCGUUAAGUAUCCCGCCUGUGGAGUACGGUCGCAAGACUAAAACAUAAAGGAAUUGACGGGGACCCGCACAAGCGGUGGAUCAUGUUCUUUAAUUCGAUGCUAAACGAAGAACCUUACCAGGGCUUGACAUCCCGAGAAUUACUCCGAAAGGAGUGAGUGCUUUAUUGAAUUCGGUGACAGAUGAUGCAUGGCCGUCGUCAGCUCGUGUCGUGAGAUGUUUGGUUAAGUCCAUCAACGAGCGCAACCCUUGUGAAUAGUUGUAUUUUUCUAUUCAGACUGCCCCG